rnacentral:rRNA from 1 species
AGCGAACGCUGGCGGCGUACUUAACACAUGCAAGUCGAACGGGGAUCGUCGGUGUAGCAAUACAUCGGCGGUCCUAGUGGCGCACGGGUGAGUAACACGUGGGUAACCUGUCCUUGAGUUCGGGAUACCCUCUCGAAAGGGAGGCUAAUACCGGAUACGUUCCCCGGAUUGCGAAAUCUGGGGAGGAAAGGCGGCGCAAGCUGCCGCUCUUGGAGGGGCUCGCGGCCUAUCAGCUAGUUGGUGAGGUAAUGGCUCACCAAGGCUAUGACGGGUAGCUGGUCUGAGAGGACGACCAGCCACACUGGAACUGAGACACGGUCCAGACUCCUACGGGAGGCUG